UCAGUAGCAGGUUACGCGGAGCCUGGCGAGCUGGCCCAGUUUCCACAGUAAGCUGAUAGGUUCUGCCACUGAUCAGCAGGCCACAGUGGGUCUCGGAACCUUCUUAUCUUCUUGGGAAUCGAUGGGCUCAGUAAGGGGAGAGCACAUGGCAGCACUCGGCCAGGCGUGGGGCGUGACCUCAGGCACGGUCUUGGCUGCAGUGGGGCCAUGUGUUUACUCCAAGGCCAGCAGGCGCUGGUGGGGGUGGUGGGGACAGAACCAGAGAUGGCUCAGAGGGGAUUCCCAUCCUCCAGGCGCUGGCCAAGUCGUAAGGAAGACAGACAUGAGUCUGGGGACACAGAGACUGAGGCCCACAAAGGGUGCAUCCUACCAGGCAUGCCUGGUGAGACCACCUUCAAGGUCCCUCCCGUCCUUCUUGGGGGCUGGCAUGAACAAGAACCACCUGUCACUCUGCAUCAGCAGCAGGGAAGAGACGACCCCAAGCUAAAGGCCACCAUGUGAGACACCAAGACCCACCGCCCUGGGGGCUGUCUAUCCCCUUCCCUCCUGCCAUAGCGUCUAAAGCUCGAAGGCACAUCCAAGGAAAGCUGACUUCUGUGAACAGCAUCUUCGAAUCUUUUCUCUGCCCGUCUAGGAGCUGGAAAUGCUAUCGUCACCAAAGCGAGGCUUACACUGUCUUGUUUUUCAACUCCCCUUCUCUGACCUGACAGACACAGAGGCAAACCACUCCCAAGUGUCCGGGAUAACUAACAAGGCCAGCUGUCCCCAGUCAGCGGUGCCAGGAGGCGUGUGCCAACAGCCCACCAGCUCUCGAGGUCAGGAACCCAUCUGUCCUGCUCUGGCUGUCCCCGCUGGGCUGCUGGGUGGCAGCAGGCUGGAUGCGCAGUGGGGUGGGUGGCAGGGCUGCUGCCCCUUCAGUGGCUGAUCCCGGCCCAGGCCGGGGCCUCUUCCCACUUCCUGCUGACAACCACGGUUUCCUGCAGCCUGAGAUCCUCGCGCCACAUUUUCUCUCUGUGCAAGGGCUCUGGCAGGGGAGGGCCAUCCUCAACCGCGCCGUCUCUGCGUCCACAGAGAAAGCUCUCUGACAGCAGAGAAUCUGGACAUGGCAGGGACUCUGUUCUGAUGCUCUGCCCCUGCUGCAGAGGGAAGCUGGGGGCACAGGCAGAGGCCAGGAGGGACAGAGGGCAUCAGAGCAGGGCGCUGAGAAUAACACGGUGCUGGGGCCACUAUGGCCUGUGCUCACCUGGCACCAGGCCUUGUGUGUUGUGCAGACGCAGCUUUGGCCCAUGGCCUCCCAAAGGCUCAAGUGCCACAAGGACAUGCCAGGCUGGGCCAGCUCAGCCUCCACUGUCCUGAACCCCAGGUCCAACCCUGUUUCUUCAAUGGGGUGAGUGUUGCCAAGCCCAGCUCCAGGCCUGCCUGCAUCUGCAGGCACAUUCCCGGCCUGCAGGCUGGGAGCUAGAGCAAUCUUGUAGACUCUUUUCAGAAGAUCUCACCCUCCCAAGGUAGGCCACAUUCGCCCUGCUCUCCCAGCUGCCUGAAUCUGGUUUGAGAACCUGGAAUCAAAACUUUAGGCCAGACUUCUAUAAAUUUAACCCAAGGAAAUAAUCAAGUGACUAUGGAAAGAUACAUAGGAAAAGGCAUUUGUUGUGUGGUUACGUGUAAAUGAUGACAUAGAUUCUAUUUACUGACAUAAAAAAAUACCUUGACAUAUUGUUGACUCAAAAUGACGUGCCACCAAGUAGUAUCUACAGUACGAUCAGGGUGGUGUGUGCAUGUGCUUAAGAAAAAAAGCCUGGAGAGAGACCUGAAAUGGUUAUCUCUGGGGAAUAUGUGUAUAAGUCAUUUCUAUAAUUUUAGCUACUAUCUUUUAAACUCUUUUUACAAUGAACAAAUAAUAUUCUCGUGACAUUUAAUAAUAUAUUUUAGCAACAAAAAAGUUAAAUUAUAAAACUUAAAUCAGUUAAAUUACAAAAGAAGGAAGAAUGACAGUAUUUGGGGAGCUAAAGGUCACCUAGCUGCUGGUCACCCCCAGAUCUAACCUCCUGGGGAAACCCAAGACCCAGGUAAGCGAAGAAGAGUCACAGUGAUCUCUCGAGUGGAUUCCAGGAGGGCUGAGGCCAAGAUGUCUUAGCUAAGCCUGGCACCGGCGGGUCACAUGCCUGUGGUAAGAUCUCGCUGACCAAAGGGGUGAGGGGGCCAGCUACAUUCUCCUCCCUUCCGUCAGAGCCCACGUGUGCGUGUCAGAGGAGAGAGCCGGCUGUGCCCAGGCCUCAGGCCGCUCUUAUUUCCAGGUGAGCUGAGCAGAGACCUACCUUGCGCCGCCCGUCUCUGGCAAGCUCUGGAUUCGUCCCCAGGAUGUAAAAUCCUCGAUGGCCACCAACACUUAGCAAGGCGCGAGCAUCACCAGGAAGCCAGACAGUCUAGAAACAGAGCACUCCAGAGUCCUGGGUAGCAGGGGAAAGCUUUAAUGCUACAUGAAGGAUUUGGACAGGUAAAUAAGUUAUUGUAAACCGAUUCCACCCGAUGGCCGGCUUUCUCAGAGCCUCCCCACCUAAGCUUUUGCAGCUGCCCCUGACAGAGACGCACGUGGGCCGUAUCAAGUAGCCAUUGUAAAGCUGAAGGUGGCAAAAAUAUAUUAUUUUUCCCAAGGACAGAGCGUUCCCUUUACGAUGAAGAAAUAACCUCUGUGGGGAAGCAGAGGAAGCCAAGGUCACCGUUUGAUUUUGACCCAGAGCCAAGGUGCCCGGAUGGCUCAACUGUCUUCCGCCAGCCAACGCUGCGGCCCAGCGGCAACGAGGCUGUGCCGAUGAUGGGCAUGACACAGGCCAGACAGGAGCACGGAGGGGCAGAGGGGGAAGAGGGCACAGGGCUGCCUGCCCGUCCCAGUGACAAUGGCCUUGCCCUUCCUACUCUGUGGUCCUCGGAGGCAACUUCUAGAGGAGAUAACUGAAACUGUCCUGAACAAAAAUAAACCAUGUACAAAGCUGAGUUCUUUGGGACUUUUCCCUCAUGUGCUAAGGAAAAUAGCCCUAUGAGCGGACACGUUGGCCAGUACAGACUGUGCUGGGUGUCUUCCGGGUUUGCCUUCCACUGCCCCACCCUGUUCUGUGCCCUGGGCGCCUCACCUGACCACCCCUCCAGCUCUGAGACCCUCUGACUUCUGGGUAGGUGCAGUCCAGGCAGGCACUUGCAGGACAUUGGGGAUUGGGCUGGGGUCAGGUAUUUAUUCCCCUGCUUCCCUCCCCCAGUGUCCCUCGGCUGAAGGUCAUGGCCCUCCUUGGGGGACCGGGUGCUGCACGUGGCUCUCUCUCUGGGUCCAGCAAUAGCUCCCUCCCCUGCCCGCUUAGGCUCAGAGGCGGUAACUUCCCUCAGCCCCGCUAUGAGCCCUGGGUAGGCUCUAUGGCGGGUUCUUUAUCCUGCGCCUACUCCUUUGUGCACAGUCCUUUCAUUUAACUCUCCUCAAAUUACACAUUUGAACGUGUCUAUUUCCUUUCAAGGCCCCAACAGAUGCAUUUGCAGAGAGGGUUAAAAGCAGGACUUUGGGAUCAGACAGAUCUGAAUUAGAAUUCUAACACUGCCCCUUAGUUUUGUGACACCAGGUAAGUUAUUUAAUUCCUAUGAACUCUUGUUUCCCAUUCUAAAAACUAGAGAUCCCAUUAUAUAACCCUCCUCCUCCUCCACUAACAGCAGUCUCAGCAUUGACAUCACCCACCCAGAGUCCCAGGGCAAGUGGCACCUGCUUCACGACGCCUUUGCCCACCCCAACCACAAACUCUUCCCUGGAGGGGUUUCCAACUGUUCUCAGCUCACGCUUGGCAUUAGUGUCUGUCUCAGAUUUUAUUUACUUUUUCACAUCUUCCCUUCCUUGAUCUCUUUCUUCCUACCCCGACCUCCACUCCUUGUAGUUAGAUCCUGGGCUUCCUGAGAAAUAGACAUCAUCUGUUUGAAUCUCUGGUCCAUAGCAUGCAUCCCACGGUGCUGUAUAACAGAUCCUCAACUCAUUAUUUGUUCUUCUUAGGAGGCGUAUGAGAUACAUCCACGCACAUAAACACAUUCUAUUAAUACUCUAAUGAGAUGCACGGUAUUUAAAGGGAUUUUAAAAUAAAUUACUAGAACCGAUUUCUAGUAAUAAUUUUGUUCCCAAGUGAACAUUGUAAAACCUUAUGUUUCCAAAGAUCAUGGCUUGGGAAAAGGAAUCUCAGGAAUGAACCCACAAAAUCACAGGCAGCUAGGUAAGGUUUUCUAUCUUCAGGUGAGAUGGAGAGGUCACUUAAAGCUCUUAGGGCUUAAUUUUGGACACCUCUGGUCACCUUUGCCUUUCACUAAUUUCAUUAUCAAAGCACAGUUUACAGUCUUAAGGAAAAUAACAUUUAAAAGCCAAAGGAUAGGAGACUCUUUAUUUAAAAAAUAUAGUAGGUAAUCAGUUACUGCAGGUGAAAAGCCUCUUAUGACCUUCAGCUUCCCAAGGAGCUUAAGAGAUGCUAAUUGACUUUGACAAGGUAUUAAGACCAAGAGGAAAGCAAGACCCUUGAAUGGGCUGUUUGGGUUAAAACCUGGGAGAGCUUCAAACUUACACUAAAGAAACAUUUUGAGAUCUGUUUUAAGUUUAUAAAAGAAGACGAUUCCUGACAUGAACCAAAUCGAUUGCCAAGAGAAUGAUAAGCAAGGGCCCCAACAGUUUUUACUUCUUUAUAAAAGACACCAAUGUUUGUUUGUUUGUUUGGGGUUUUUUUUGGAGAGAAAAUGCCUUCAGAGAGGAGAAACCAAUUAGAGAGUCUCCAGUCUGAUGCAGGAUCAGAAAGCAGCCCUGCCUGUGUCUUGACCGCGCUCCCCAAUUACGGCCCCAGAGCCCAGAAGUUCAGCACCCCUCAGCAAAGUGGGAAACAAACAGUCUUUCUUCCUCAGAGAAGCAAAGCAAAGUGACCCGAGGCUGUAAACCAUGGGGAGACAACCAGCUCCCCAGCCCACCCUCCUGGCAGCCCCAACACAGCAUUCCAGUCACCCCGACAACGGUCUCCAGUGUGGGCUCCAGAUGUAUGCUGCAAGGGGAACUCUCAUUCAUACCCUGUUUCUUUUAAGAAGAGAGGAAAACAGGCCAUCCAUUAAUAAUACCAACCAUGGGCUCACCAAAGCCUGCAGGCGUCUUGCCAACACAAAAAUAAACACUCCUAGAAGGUUUAUCCAUCAGGUUCACGACAGUUCGUGGGCUGAGGGGUAUGGAAGGCUCUGCUUUUAAAAGGGAGGAAUGAAGGUGCAAAGAUGAAAUACAUUAUGGGAGUCCACCCGGCGCGAGGCAGAGGCUUCCUGUUCCAUUACGGAGCCAGAAUUGGCCAUUGAUGAGAUCCAUUACUUAUUUUCAACUGCUAGGAUGCACCUCCUGGCAAGCUUUUUCCUGGGCAAGAAAGAUAGUGUCUGCAGAGGCCCCGGGGCCUGAUUGAGAGAGGACAACAUUUUCAUAAUUCUAGAAGUUUACAUUUUCUUAUUGAUUUUUUCUAAAAUAUUUAUGAGUUGAUCAUUUUUAUUAUCCCCAUUUUACAGAGGAGGAAACAGAGGCUCACGGCAAAUAAGCCGUCUUGCGUUCACUCUGCAGUCACCACCAACGGGCUGAAAAAAGACACAGAGGUCAGCAGGCAGCCCUCAUGCCACUCUGUCCCUGCUGCCCCAGCUGCCCUCCGCCCCUUACCCACUUCCCAGCAGCUCCCAGAUGUCCUGGUGGGGGUCCCCUUUCCAAGUGCUCCCCUCGUCUUCCACAGACCCUCCUGCAACAGAUAAGGCUCAAGCCACCCCCUCCUUCCCCUGAGCCUCUGUCAAGAGUAAGGCCACUUGCCUGGAUUCUCCACCACUAUGAAUUUGGUGUUUCUCAAUCUUUUGUUCAUUAUCACCACUCCCCACCCCACAAGAGAAAAAUUAUAUUUAAAUUCUCCCUAAAAGAGAAAAUAAACUCUAAGGAGUAAGAUUUCGUCAGAUGGGGUUGAGCUCUGUGGGGUCACAAACCACUGUAACAUCUAAGAUUUUUUUGCCCUCUCCUCCAACUCUAGGAACCAAUAUUCCCAACCCCCUCCUAGUUGAGACUUUAUUCAUAAAACCGAUCUAU